rnacentral:lncRNA from 1 species
AGCUACUCAAGAGGCUGAGGCAGAGAAUUGCUUGAACCUGGGAGCCAGAGUUUGCAGUGAGCAGAGAUCAUGCCACUGCACUCCACCCUGGAAGACAGAGCAAGAUUCGGUCUCAAAAAGAAAAAAACCAGCAAGUCCUUAAUGGAUAACUGCAAGUCUCAUCAACAGCAAUGCUAUUAACUGAACUGGCUCAUCAGUAAUUGACACCCAUGUCUAUCCACUUGCUCAUGCCAAGAUGUAGGCACUUGUAAUUGCAGUCAUACAGAUAUUUGUAUGAUUAUCAACUUAAUGCCUGCAUCUACCACUCUGCUCUAAUCAACAUGACAACAGGGACUGACUCUUUUGUUUGCCACCGUAUCCCCAAGGCUAUCACAAUAUCCAGCAUGAGUGUGUCAGCGCUUUGUUGAAUUAAUUCAUUGCAAGGAACAGUUAAACAAGCUGAAAAUAAACAACUUUCUCACACCCAUCAGAGAACUGAAGUUUCAGGGCAAAUCAUCACCUCAAAAUCCGGAGAAAAGGAACAUCCCAGAAGAAAGAGGCCAGAUCUGUUUACCUGGUGGAAAAGCCACUGGAGCCAUAGACUGAUAUGAACACUCAAAUAGUAAUUUUGGCCAAUUACUGGGGAAUGAGGAUGGACUGGAGUGAAUGUGAGAAACACCCGGGAGCCAGUCUUGUGGGGGCUUCCACAAUACCACAGACUCCUUUCUGGUGAAG